UACGAAGGGGGCUAGCGUUGUUCGGAAUUACUGGGCGUAAAGCGCACGUAGGCGGAUAUUUAAGUCAGGGGUGAAAUCCCAGAGCUCAACUCUGGAACUGCCUUUGAUACUGGGUAUCUUGAGUAUGGAAGAGGUAAGUGGAAUUGCGAGUGUAGAGGUGAAAUUCGUAGAUAUUCGCAGGAACACCAGUGGCGAAGGCGGCUUACUGGUCCAUAACUGACGCUGAGGUGCGAAAGCGUGGGGA
rnacentral:rRNA from 1 species